rnacentral:rRNA from 1 species
GAUGAACGCUGGCGGCGUGCCUAAUACAUGCAAGUCGAGCGAACAGACGAGGAGCUUGCUCCUCUGACGUUAGCGGCGGACGGGUGAGUAACACGUGGAUAACCUACCUAUAAGACUGGGAUAACUUCGGGAAACCGGAGCUAAUACCGGAUAAUAUAUUGAACCGCAUGGUUCAAUAGUGAAAGACGGUUUUGCUGUCACUUAUAGAUGGAUCCGCGCCGCAUUAGCUAGUUGGUAAGGUAACGGCUUACCAAGGCAACGAUGCGUAGCCGACCUGAGAGGGUGACCGGCCACACUGGAACUGAGACACGGCCCAGACUCCUACGGGAGGCAGCAGUAGGGAAUCUUCCGCAAUGGGCGAAAGCUUGACGGAGCAACGCCGCGUGAGUGAUGAAGGUCUUCGGAUCGUAAAACUCUGUUAUUAGGGAAGAACAAAUGUGUAAGUAACUAUGCACGUCUUGACGGUACCUAAUCAGAAAGCCACGGCUAACUACGUG